CGACGAUGAUGACGGUAAUGGUGAUGGUGGUGAUGAUGAUGAUAAAUAUGAUGAUGAACUAAACAAUGAUGAUCAAAGUGAAACAAUUAACUAAUGAGAGUGACAAGUUCAUCGUUACAUGUAAAAUAUGAUAAAUAUAAAAGUACCAAACUAUUGAUUUUGGCGAGAGUAACAAAACAAAAGGUUUAGCUACAAGAACACAGAAGAAGGUAAGAAAAGGUUACUAUUUUUUAAUCACAAAAAGAAACGAAAUCAUCACAAUUAGAAGGUCAUAAUCAACAGGUAAUCGACAACUGAGAAUUUAAAUUAAUAUCAAUUGAAUGGUUUUAACAAUAGAAUAAGAAAGAAACUGGUUAAAUAAUAGUUGCUGUUAUAAUAAAAACAAAAUAAUGCAAAGAUAGAAAUGUAAAAAUUGAAAAUGUUACUAAUGGUGUUAACAUAAAUGGAGACCUUGCAUUUUAAGUCCCGGGUUUUUUCAUUCCUCUCCAUUGUUUCCCCCCUUUUGAGAACCCAAAUCUGGUAACCUGUCAAUGUUUAGAUUAGGAUCGGUUAAGUGAAAACGGUUAAAUUGUUUUGUUUGGUUAACAAGUGUGAAUCAUUUUGGCCAUUUCUACUCUUGAAUCAUGGAUUAAAUUGAAUUUCUUUUUAGUUUAUUGGUGUUACUUUUGAUACAAUUUACAUUUAACUGAUUCUUCUUCAUAAAUUCAUCAAAUUCAUCAAAAUCAAAUCAAGGUUAACUGUUAUAACUCAUUGUUUCUUCUCAAUUUACAAUUUUCUAUUUUUUGUUUGACUUCCAAUUUGCCUUUUUUUUAUGUGUCUAUCUUUGAAAACAAAACGGAACAACAAAAAGUUACAAUUUACAUUACAUUCAACGGAACUUUGGUUGAUUAAAAUUGAAGAUUGGAAACCUUGACUGUUUAAAUUUUUUGCGCUUCUAAUGGAACCAAGAAUGAUGAUAACCUUUCAUGGUAUCAGUAUCAGCUUUUGAUCAUCAUCACACUCUCCCAGGUAUUGUUACACACUGACAUUCAGUCAACAAGCAACAAGUUGAUAUAAUUUUGCAAGAUGAAAGGAUCACCAAAAGCAGAGUCUCAUUCAACUGGUUGAAUAAAUUGUGAACAGAGGAACCCUUUGAUUGGAUUCAUUUUUACGUAACAAGCAAGAUGAACCAGGAUCAAGUAAACAAAUAUCAAGUCAACCCAAAAUGGUUACAAAUCAAUAACACACAUGAAACAUUGUCAAUACAUUGUCAAUGUAGUCAUUAUGAUUGAUAUUUGACAGGAAAAAAUUGUUCUGAUUAUCUUCAAGUUUUACUAAAUAACAAUCAUGGUAAGAAGAAGGAGAAGAAGUGAAAGAUAUUAGAGGUUUUCAAUGAUGAUUGUCAAACAAAAAAGAGUGGAUUAGAAGAAAAAUGAACAAAAAUUAUUGCAGCAAAAGAUGAUAACCUUAAUUGAGAGGAACCUUGAGAGAGACAGAAAGAGGAAGAGAAAGAAAUAAUAAUGAA